UACGGAGGGGGCGAGCGUUGUUCGGAAUUACUGGGCGUAAAGCGCGCGUAGGCGGCUAGGUAAGUCGGAUGUGAAAGCCCUCGGCUCAACCGAGGAACUGCGUCCGAUACUGCCCGGCUUGAGUCCGGUAGGGGAUGGCAGAAUUCCCGGUGUAGCGGUGGAAUGCGUAGAUAUCGGGAGGAAUACCGAUGGCGAAGGCGGCCAUCUGGGCCGGAACUGACGCUGAGGCGCGAAAGCUAGGGGAGCAAACAGG
rnacentral:rRNA from 1 species